AAUAGCUUCUUUGUCCAUAUAAAAUUAAGCUUCAAAUAUCAAUGUUUUCUAAGAUUAUUAAAAACAUUUUUAGCUGCUCCUUUAAAUUCCUACUGAUAGAACACUUAAAAAUUACUAAAGUGAGUAGUAAAGUUUUAUCCAUAAAGUUAUGCAAAAACUUAUCUAGAUGAAUGAUAUUUCAAUACCCAUUCUACAGAUAUUUGUGAGUAGAAGUUAACUGGUUUUAAAGAGUGGGGAAAGGGGUUUCAGGUGAAGAAAACAGCAGAUGCAAAGGCCUGAAGAGACAGAGCAUGGACUUUCCACAAACGGUAAGGUUUUCAGUAGAGCUGGACCUUUGAGGGAUUGAGGGCCUGUAAAGGUAGACACUGGCCACCUCAUAAAAGGCCUUGUAGGCUAUGUUAAGAAAAUUUGGACUUUUUUUUAAAAAAAAAUUUUUUUUAACAUUUAUUUAUUUUUGAUACAGAGAGCAUGAACGGGAGGGUCAGAGAAAGACAGAGACACAGAAUCUGAAACAGGCUCCAGGCUCUGAGCUGUCAGCACAGAGCCCGACGCGGGGCUCGAACCCACGGACCGCGAGAUCAUGACCUGAGCCGAAGUCGGACGCCCAACCGACUGAGCCACCCAGGCGCCCCAGGAAACUUGGAUUUCUUCUUGAGGAAAACGGAAAGCCGUUGAAGAGUUUUCAAAGUGGAGACCAGGUUCCAUCAAGAAUGAUGUCGGUCAUCAAGGUGGAAGAGAGGGAGGACUGAGGAAUCAUGCACCAAUACUUAAAUGCCAGAAAAAUGGCAAUGCCACAAGAAGUAUGGGUGAUAUGAUCUUGAUCACUGGCUGAACGGAUUUUUUUUCCAACCAGAGAUCACACAAGAGGAAUCAAUUUAAAAGAUUAGUUUUCAAUUUGCUAAAAAGUGAGUCAACAACUCUUUAAGAUCUGAAACGCCAGCUUUUCUAGUUUAGGUAAGAGCUUUGCCAGAAUGAGCACUUUCAGAAAGUUUACAAGAGAAAUUUCAUUAUUUAGCUCAUUGGGAGUUUAUGUAUUCAGGUUUCUGUUAUAAAAAAUAUGUAUUGAUUAAUGCAUGCCUAAGUCAUGGGGUGAAGGAUAACAAGGAAGAUUCUAGUCAGAGAACUUCCCCUGUAUUCUAAAGGAAAGUUAUGUUUUCUAGUCCAUCCCAACGGUGAGGGAAGAAGAUAAAUGUUUAUAUUGUCAAGCAGGACACGUGUUAUCUCAUUAGUUUUAAGAAGCAGUUAUUGGGGCACCUGGGUGGCUCAGUUGAUUAAGCGUCUGACUUCAGCUCAGGUCAUGAUCUCGUAGUCCAUGAGUUCAAGCCCUGCAUUGGGCUCUGUGCUGACAGCUCAGAGCCUGGAGCCUGUUUCAGAUUCUGUGUCUCCUUCUCUCUGACCCUCCCCUGUUCAUGCUCUGUCUCUCUGUGUCUCAAAAAUAAAUAAAUGUUAAAAAAAGAAAUUAAAAAAAAGAAGCAGUUACUAUCACAAUUUUACAGAGAAGAAUUCUUGGAGAGGUUAAAUAUUUUGGUUAAGAUUCUAGAUCAUCUAAGUGGGAUACGAAGAUUCAAAUUCAAAACACAAGAAUGCAAAAUUUUUUAAAUUUUUUUAAACGUUUAUUUUUGAGAGACAGAGUGAGAGCGGAAGAGGGGCAGAGAGAGAGAGAGAGGGAGACAGAAUCUGAAUCAGGCUUCAGGCUCAGAGCUGUCAGCACGGAGCCCAAUGCAGGGCUCGAACUCAGGAACUGUGAGAUCAUGACCUGAGCCAAAGUCAGAAGCUUAACUGGCUGACCCAUCCAGGUGCCCCAAACACAAAUUCUUUUUUU